AAGUCGAACGCGCAGCGAAGAGUGCUUGCACUCUUCAAGCG
rnacentral:rRNA from 1 species